UUGCUUUGACAGCACAUAUACUAAAAUUAGAAUGAUAUGGAGAUUAGCAUUGUCCCUGCACAAGGGCGAUAUGCGAAACAUGGAUCCUGGAUUCAAAUUCCU